GGGGAUAAUUGGGCAUUGACCGAAGGCUUACCCAGCAACCCCGCCGGGAGGGAGGAGGCCUUCGGGGUUGUAACCUCUUUUAAGGGGGGAGAGGAAGAGGCGGUUACCCCUUAAAUAGCCCCGGCUAAACUCCUUGCCAGCAGCCGCGGUAAUACGUAGGUGGCAAGGCGUUGUCCGGAUUUACUGGGUGUAAAGGGCGUGCAGCCGGGAAGGCAAGUCAGAUGUGAAAUCUGGGGGCUCAACCUCCAAACUGCAUUUGAAACUACUUUUCUUGAGUAUCGGAGAGGUAAUCGGAAUUCCUUGUGUAGCGGUGAAAUGCGUAGAUAUAAGGAAGAACACCAGUGGCGAAGGCGGAUUACUGGACGACAACUGACGGUGAGGCGCGAAAGCGUGGGGAGCAAACA
rnacentral:rRNA from 1 species